rnacentral:rRNA from 1 species
UACGUAGGGGGCGAGCGUUGUCCGGAUUUAUUGGGCGUAAAGAGCUCGUAGGCGGCUUGGCAAGUCGGGUGUGAAACCUCCAGGCUCAACCUGGAGACGCCACUCGAUACUGCUAUGGCUAGAGUCCGGUAGGGGACCACGGAAUUCCUGGUGUAGCGGUGAAAUGCGCAGAUAUCAGGAGGAACACCGGUGGCGAAGGCGGAUCUCUGGGCCAUUACUGACGCUGAGGAGCGAAAGCGUGGGGAGCGAACAGG